rnacentral:rRNA from 1 species
UACGGAGGGGGAGCGAGCGUUAUUCGGAAUUAUUGGGCGUAAAGGGCGCGUAGGCGGCUGUACAAGUCAAAGGUGAAAUCCCUCGGCUCAACUGAGGAACUGCCUUUGAAACUGUACGGCUUGAGGCCGGGAGGGGGUAGCGGAAUUCCCAGUGUAGCGGUGAAAUGCGUAGAUACUGGGAGGAACACCAGUGGCGAAGGCGGCUACCUGGACCGGUUCUGACGCUGAGGCGCGAAAGCGUGGGUAGCAAACAGG